GAUGAACGCUGGCGGCGUGCCUAAUACAUGCAAGUCGAGCGAACGGACGAGAAGCUUGCUUCUCUGAUGUUAGCGGCGGACGGGUGAGUAACACGUGGAUAACCUACCUAUAAGACUGGGAUAACUUCGGGAAACCGGAGCUAAUACCGGAUAAUAUUUUGAACCGCAUGAUUCAAAAGUGAAAGACGGUCUUGCUGUCACUUAUAGAUGGAUCAGCGCUGCAUUAGCUAGUUGGUAAGGUAACGGCUUACCAAGGCAACGAUGCAUAGCCGACCUGAGAGGGUGAUCGGCCACACUGGAACUGAGACACGGUCCCGACUCCUACGGGGGGCAGCAGUAGGGAAUCUUCCGCGAUGCGCGAAAGCCUGACGGAGCAACGCCGCGUGAGUGCUGAAGGUCUUCGGAUCGUAAAACUCUGUUAUUAGGGAAGAACAUAUGUGUAAGUACCUGUGCACAUCUUGACGGUACCUAAUCAGAAAGCCACGGCUAACUACGUG
rnacentral:rRNA from 1 species